rnacentral:rRNA from 1 species
CAGGCCUAACCCAUGCAAGUCGAGGGGCAGCAUAGAGUAGCAAUACUUUGAUGGCGACCGGCGCACGGGUGAGUAACACGUAUGCAACCUACCUACAUCAGGGGAAUAACCCGGAGAAAUUCGGACUAAUACCGCAUAAUACAGGGAUGCCGCAUGGCAAUAUUUGUUAAAGAUUUAUCGGAUGUAGAUGGGCAUGCGUUCCAUUAGCUAGUUGGUAAGGUAACGGCUUACCAAGGCAACGAUGGAUAGGGGAACUGAGAGGUUUGUCCCCCACACUGGAACUGAGACACGGACCAGACUCCUACGGGAGGCAGCAGUGAGGAAUAUUGGUCAAUGGACGAGAGUCUGAACCAGCCAAAUCGCGUGAAGGAAGACUGCCCUACGGGUUGUAAACUUCUUUUGUACAGGAAUAAAAGACAUUACGUGUAAUGUAUUGCAUGUACUGUACGAAUAAGC